rnacentral:rRNA from 1 species
GGAGGUAGUGACAAUAAAUCACAAUGCGGGACUGUUAGUCUUGCAAUUGGAUUGAGAACAACGUACAACUCUUAUCGAUAAGCCAUUGGAGGGCAAGUCUGGUGCCAGCAGCCGCGGUAAUUCCAGCUCCAAUAGCGUAUAUUAACGUUGUUGCAGUUAAAAAGCUCGUAGUUGAAGUGAGGGAGUGUGUGUUCAUGAGAGCUAGUCUCGAGUGUUCACAACCUCCCCCCUCCAAUCGGUGUAGUGGGGUAUUCAGUUAUUUCACUACUCCUUUGGUCGUUUACUGUGAGAAAAUUAGAGUGUUCAAAGCGGGCGUUUGUUUGAAUAGAUUAGCAUGGAAUAAUGAUUGAAGGCUUUCGUGUUCGAUUUGAUUGGUUUGUUCAUGGAAGCAAGGUUAAAAGGAACAGUUGGGGGUAUUCAUAUUCACUAGUUAGAGGUGAAAUUCUCGGAUUUAUGGAAGAUGAACAAGGGCGAAAGC